ACGCUGGCGGCGUGCUUAACACAUGCAAGUCGAACGGUGAAGAGGAGCUUGCUCCUUGGAUCAGUGGCGAACGGGUGAGUAACACGUGAGUAACCUGCCCCAAACUCUGGGAUAAGCACUGGAAACGGUGUCUAAUACCGGAUACGAGCUUCAGCCGCAUGGCUAGGAGUUGGAAAGAAUUUCGGUUUGGGAUGGACUCGCGGCCUAUCAGCUAGUUGGUGAGGUAAUGGCUCACCAAGGCGACGACGGGUAGCCGGCCUGAGAGGGUGACCGGCCACACUGGGACUGAGACACGGCCCAGACUCCUACGGGAGGCAGCAGUGGGGAAUAUUGCACAAUGGGCGAAAGCCUGAUGCAGCAACGCCGCGUGAGGGACGACGGCCUUCGGGUUGUAAACCUCUUUUAGUAGGGAAGAAGCGAAAGUGACGGUACCUGCAGAAAAAGCACCGGCUAACUACGUGCCAGCAGCCGCGGUAAUACGUAGGGUGCAAGCGUUGUCCGGAAUUAUUGGGCGUAAAGAGCUCGUAGGCGGUUUGUCGCGUCUGCUGUGAAAACCCGAGGCUCAACCUCGGGCCUGCAGUGGGUACGGGCAGACUAGAGUGCGGUAGGGGAGAUUGGAAUUCCUGGUGUAGCGGUGGAAUGCGCAGAUAUCAGGAGGAACACCAAUGGCGAAGGCAGAUCUCUGGGCCGUAACUGACGCUGAGGAGCGAAAGCAUGGGGAGCGAACAGGAUUAGAUACCCUGGUAGUCCAUGCCGUAAACGUUGGGAACUAGAUGUGGGGACCAUUCCACGGUCUCCGUGUCGCAGCUAACGCAUUAAG
rnacentral:rRNA from 1 species